rnacentral:rRNA from 1 species
ACGCGUGAGUAACCUGCCUUUCAGAGGGGGAUAACGUUCUGAAAAGAACGCUAAUACCGCAUGAGACUACAGAGCUGCAUGGCUCAGUGGUCAAAGGAGCAAUCCGCUGAAAGAUGGACUCGCGUCCGAUUAGAUAGUAGGCGGGGUAACGGCCCACCUAGUCGACGAUGCAUAGGGGGACUGAGAGGUUGAACGGCCACAUUGGGACUGAGACACGGCCCAGACUCCUACGGGAGGCAGCAUG